GGUACAUGCAGUGGCCCCCAACAGUAUUUGGUCCAAAGCAGACAUAACUGGGAGAAGAAAUGUCCAUAGUCCACCUGAUUUUUUUGAUUUUUUUUUUUAGCCUUGAGCGGCAGCUUAAAUAAAUAUAACAUUUACUUGAAGCCUUUACAGAGAGAUACACAUAUACUUCUAGUCAAAUGAACUUUAUUGAUUAAUUGUAAAAGCUCCUACUGUCCAGUUCUGGAUACUUUAUAUUCGGAAAGUCAUAAAUAAGGCUUUUUGAAAGACUGCAAGAACGGUGCUUGACCUGAAUCAUAAUAAAGACUUGUAAACUCGAACUAUGCAUUGCUUAGGGAAUGUAUUGAGAUAAAAUUAUAGAAACAAGGAAGUAUUUCAAGGUUCCAUUAAAAUUAUCCUAUUUUCUGUUGAAAGAGGGUUGAUAAAAUAAGAUGACAUAAUGUUAAGUUUCAGGGAAGUAAACUCAGGGGAUAAAUCAGGCCAAGUUUCUUUACAGAAGAUAAUGUAUAUGCAUGCAAAACUAUUCCAGUAGUCCUGAUAAAGACUUCAGAGAAGAAGAAUGCUCGUGAUGGACAAACUGCUGUUGGUAGAAAUGCAUUCAAGAAUAGGUAUUGUGGAUCUUGAUUGAGAUGACACAGAUGGAUGGGACAGUUGACCUUUAUCAAUCGAUCAGUCAUGUAGUCCUAUUUAAUACUGAUCACAAAAACUAUAGUCCUUUCAUUUCUUAUACAUUUUUAAUACAUGGUGUACCUUUACUUGCUGUAUGGGUUUGGUAGUUAUUUACUCACAUAAUAUAUCGUCGGUUUAGUUUGAUGUUCUAGAGCAGUGAAUUUUGUCCACCAUGUUUGUGAGAAAGUCGUAAAGAGUCCAUGACUGUUACACGAAAAAAUAUGAGGCUUUUGCCCACUGCAACAAUGUAGCAAUGUUCCUUGUUGUCAUUCUCCUAUGAUACUGAUCAUCAGGAGUGGUUGUAUAAAUAUUAUUUACUCAAUUAAUAAUAAUCAAUUGAUUAUUAGUUUUUGGUUACAACUGAGAAACAAAUCACUGUCACAUUUAUCAUGGAUAUUGUGUGCACAGAAAAC